UACGAAGGGGGCUAGCGUUGCUCGGAAUCACUGGGCGUAAAGGGCGCGUAGGCGGCCUUCUAAGUCGGACGUGAAAUCCCUCGGCUUAACCGAGGAACUGCGUCCGAUACUGAAAGGCUUGAAUCCGGGAGAGGGAUGUGGAAUUCCAGGUGUAGCGGUGAAAUGCGUAGAUAUCUGGAGGAACACCGGUGGCGAAGGCGGCAUCCUGGACCGGCAUUGACGCUGAGGCGCGAAAGCUAGGGGAGCAAAGC
rnacentral:rRNA from 1 species